UCAAAUGACUCUUACUUGUCUUAGGAUUCGUGCACUCUUACCGAACUUUUCCCUCAUCCCCGCUUGAUUUCUGGGUCGGUGGCCUCCGUUUUAAUGCAACUAUUUGUCCACCCGUCCACCUCUCCUUCAACUCUCGAAAGCGUUUCUUUCUUCUGCUUUUGUACUUUUUAAUACACCGCUCAACGCACAUUCUUUGAUCUGGAGACCCCUCUUUUUUUUUUUGGGACUAUUCUCUAUUAACUCGCAUUGCAAUUCAAAAAAUCAAGAAUUAAUAAGAAAAGGGUAUAGACAAAAAAAAUCCCUGAAAAGUUAUGCAUGCUUUGAAAGACACAGUUUCGGAAAAACUUUCACAGCUUUUUUCUGAUUCCCCUUCUCAGAACUCAGAUCAACAGCCUCAGGCCGGGCAGUUCAUGAAGGAAAGAAAAUCUUGGUCUUCCAUAUUCUCUUUUGGUCUCCCUUUUUUGAGCUUUGAAUGGUUCAGACCAAAUAAUCAUAAAAAUGAUAUCAAACUACAGCAGUCAGAUUCUUUUAGUUGGAGAAGUAAGAGUUUCUCAUUCAAAGACAGACCUUUGGACAGACACUCAGAACCAUAUAAUGAGUACGGGAACAGUGGAUCACUAAGUGUUCAUGAAGAAAAUGGGAAUCAUGUAUCUAUUAGAAAAUUAGAUUUCCAGAAGAAGGAAUAUUCAGAUACCCAUAUUGAGAACGGAGAGCCUGGCUCUGGAAGGAGCACAACUAGUUGUGGUUCUGAUAUCUUUGAAGAUGCUACUUGUCCAAAUAGUUUUCAGAGGUCAUUGUCCAAUCUUACUGAUGAUUCUGUCUUCAUAUCUCCAGACCUAUAUGAAUUUUUUGAGUCAUCCCUUCCUAAUAUAGUAAAAGGUUGCCAAUGGACCUUACUAUACAGUACUGCAAGACAUGGUAUAUCACUUCGUACACUCAUUCGCAAGAGCGCUGAGCUUUCUGGUCCUUGCUUGCUGAUUACUGGUGAUAAUCAAGGUGCUAUAUUUGGUGGGUUGCUUGAGUGCCCUCUGAAGCCCACUGCAAAGAGAAAGUAUCAGGGGACAAAUCAAUCAUUUGUAUUCACAACCUUAUAUGGUGAACCAAGGCUUUUUAGACCAACUGAUACUUUUACUUGUGCUUGAAUGACUUACUAGCACUUGGAGGUGGUGGAAGUUUUGCUCUAUGCUUGGAUGGAGAACUGUUAACUGGAAGCAGUGGAGCUUGUGAAACCUUUGGAAACUUAUGCUUGGCACAUGAUGAAGAGUUCGAACUGAGGAAUGUUGAGCUGUGGGGUUUUACGCAUGCAUCUCGAUACCUUACCUAGUGACGAAAGAUCAAAAUGGCUUUCAAAACUGUUGAUAUGGGAUUCAUUAUUCUUUGAUGUCUUAUGCAGUGCUCUCCUUGAUUCAGGAGGUUCCCUGCUGUAUAUACCCAUGUUCUUGUAGUUCAUUGAUUGCAAGGCUUUGCUGUCAAUUGUGUUCCUUUUUGCAUUGUGUUGCCCCUGAUCUGGUAAUAUAGCAUUCAUCCUAAGUUGAGACGGUGUCCCUUUUUUCCCCUGUUGCUUUGCUGCGAAUUGCAUUUUACAAUUUGUAUCAUGGCUUUGCUGGACUGUUAGCGAUGCCUUGCUUUAUAAAGUUACGCAAUAGUAGUUUGAGUGUGCCCUUUUAUACCCAUCCAUGAGUGAAAUGCUUCUUCUCUUCGAGGAGAUCAUUUAUCUUAGGACAUUCAAACAGGCACUCGAAUACUGGAACGGUUAUUAGAGAAAUCUUGGGUGACGAGUGAUGAGAAAACAAAAGUAAAUUGCUUGC